rnacentral:rRNA from 1 species
AUUGAACGCUGGCGGCAUGCCUUACACAUGCAAGUCGAACGGUAACAGGUCUUCGGAUGCUGACGAGUGGCGAACGGGUGAGUAAUACAUCGGAACGUGCCCGAUCGUGGGGGAUAACGAAGCGAAAGCUUUGCUAAUACCGCAUACGAUCUACGGAUGAAAGCAGGGGACCGCAAGGCCUUGCGCGAACGGAGCGGCCGAUGGCAGAUUAGGUAGUUGGUGGGAUAAAAGCUUACCAAGCCGACGAUCUGUAGCUGGUCUGAGAGGACGACCAGCCACACUGGGACUGAGACACGGCCCAGACUCCUACGGGAGGCAGCAGUGGGGAAUUUUGGACAAUGGGCGAAAGCCUGAUCCAGCCAUGCCGCGUGCAGGAUGAAGGCCUUCGGGUUGUAAACUGCUUUAGUACGGAACGAAAAGACUCUGGUUAAUACCUGGGGUCCAUGACGGUACCGUAAGAAUAAGCACCGGCUAACUACGUG